rnacentral:rRNA from 1 species
AGAGUUUGAUCAUGGCUCAGAACGAACGCUGGCGGCAUGCCUAACACAUGCAAGUCGAACGCGUGUAGCAAUACACGAGUGGCGCACGGGUGAGUAACGCGUGGGAACCUGCCCAGUGGUAGGGAAUAACUGCGGGAAACUGCAGCUAAUACCCUAUACGCCCUACGGGGGAAAGUUUUUCGCCAUUGGAGGGGCCCGCGUCGGAUUAGCUAGUUGGUGAGGUAAGAGCUUACCAAGGCGACGAUCCGUAGCUGGUCUGAGAGGAUGAUCAGCCACACUGGGACUGAGACACGGCCCAGACUCCUACGGGAGGCAGCAGUGGGGAAUAUUGGACAAUGGGGGAAACCCUGAUCCAGCAAUGCCGCGUGAGUGAUGAAGGCCUUAGGGUUGUAAAGCUCUUUCGACGGGGACGAUGAUGACGGUACCCGAGUAGAGCC